rnacentral:rRNA from 1 species
GAUAAACGCUAGCGGCAGGCUUAACACAUGCAAGUCGAGGGGCAGCAUAAACAUUGCUUGCAAUGUUUGAUGGCGACCGGCGCACGGGUGCGUAACGCGUAUGUAACCUACCUCAAACAGGGGCAUGACACUGAGAAAUUGGUACUAAUUCCCCAUAACACUUUAAGAGGCAUCUUUUGAAGUUGAAAGUUCCGGCGGUUUGAGAUGGACAUGCGUUGUAUUAGCUAGUUGGUGAGGUAACGGCUCACCAAGGCGACGAUACAUAGGGGGACUGAGAGGUUAACCCCCCACAUUGGUACUGAGACACGGACCAAACUCCUACGGGAGGCAGCAGUGAGGAAUAUUA